rnacentral:rRNA from 1 species
AUUGAACGCUGGCGGCAGGCCUAACACAUGCAAGUCGAGCGGAUGAAGGGAGCUUGCUCCUGGAUUCAGCGGCGGACGGGUGAGUAAUGCCUAGGAAUCUGCCUGGUAGUGGGGGAUAACGUCCGGAAACGGGCGCUAAUACCGCAUACGUCCUGAGGGAGAAAGUGGGGGAUCUUCGGACCUCACGCUAUCAGAUGAGCCUAGGUCGGAUUAGCUAGUUGGUGUGGUAAAGGCCUACCAAGGCGACGAUCCGUAACUGGUCUGAGAGGAUGAUCAGUCACACUGGAACUGAGACACGGUCCAGACUCCUACGGGAGGCAGCAGUGGGGAAUAUUGGACAAUGGGCGAAAGCCUGAUCCAGCCAUGCUGCGUGUGUGAAGAAGGUCUUCGGAUUGUAAAGCACUUUAAGUUGGGAGGAAGGGCAGUAAGUUAAUACCUUGCUGUUUUGACGUUACCAACAGAAUAAGCACCGGCUAACUUCGUG